CAGAAGAUAGUUUAAUUAAAAAUAAUAAUUUUGGAGAUUAUUGAUGGGCCUUUCUCUCUUUUCUGA
rnacentral:tRNA from 1 species